rnacentral:rRNA from 1 species
UCAAGCUACUAAGGGCACAGGGUGAAUGCCUUGGCACCAAGAGGCGAUGAAAGACGUGGUCAGCUGCGAUAAGCUCUGGGGAGCCGCUAACAGGCUUAGAUCCAGAGAUCUCUGAAUGGGGGAACCCGGCCGGUGUCAUGACCGGUCAUCUUACGCUGAAUCCAUAGGCGUAAGAAGCGAACGCAGGGAACUGAAACAUCUAAGUACCUGCAGGAAAAGAAAGCGACAGCGAUUCCCUAAGUAGUGGCGAGCGAACGGGGAAGAGCCCAAACCGGAUAUGCGUGACAGCCUGCAAGCGUUGCAUGUCCGGGGUUGUGGGGCUCUGUCGGAGGGGGUUGCAGCCUCCUCGGGAAGUUACAAAGUUCAUUCAUAGUCGAACCCGCUGGAAAGCGGGGCCACAGAAGGUGAUAGUCCUGUAGGCGAAAUGAAUGGACCUUCCUCGACAGAGUUCCCGAGUACCGCGGGACACGUGAAAUCCUGCGGGAAUCUGGGGGGACCAUCUCCCAAGGCUAAAUACUACUUGGUGACCGAUAGUGAACCAGUACCGUGAGGGAAAGGUGAAAAGUACCCCGGGAGGGGAGUGAAAUAGUACCUGAAACCGUGUGCCUACAAGCUGUGGAAGGACUAUGGCUGGAAGGGCAACCUUCCAUCCAGUCUGACUGCGUGCCUUUUGCAUAAUGAGUCAGCGAGUUACUCUAUGUGGCGAGGUUAAGCCGACAGGUGGAGCCGCAGCGAAAGCGAGUCUUAACAGGGCGAUUGAGUCGCAUGGAGUAGACCCGAAACCAAGUGAUCUACCCAUGGCCAGGGUGAAGCGUAUGUAACAGUCCGUGGAGGCCCGAACCGGUGUGGGUUGAAAACCGCUCGGAUGAGCUGUGGGUAGGGGUGAAAGGCCAAUCAAACUUGGAAAUAGCUGGUUCUCCCCGAAAUAUAUUUUGGUAUAGCCUUGCAACUUUAAGUACCGGAGGUAGAGCACUGAAUGGGCUAGGGGUCCUACCAGACUACCAACCCCAACCAAACUCCGAAUGCCGGUAACUUCAAUUGCAGGAGUCAGACUGCGGGAGAUAAGUUCCGUGGUCGAGAGGGAAACAGCCCAGAUCGCCAGCUAAGGUCCCUAAUACAUGCUAAGUGGAAAAGGAUGUGGAAACGUUCAGACAACCAGGAGGUUGGCUUAGAAGCAGCCAUCCUUUAAAGAAAGCGUAAUAGCUCACUGGUCGAAUGGGUCUGCGCCGAAGAUUCAACGGGGCUCAAGCAUGUAACCGAAGCUGCGGAUUCAUACUCCGGUAUGGAUGGUAGGGGAGCAUUCCAUGUCAGGUCGAAGCCAGACCGUGAGGACUGGUGGACGAGAUGGAAGAGAUUAUGCUGACAUAAGUAGCGAAAAAAUCAGUGAGAAACUGAUUCGCCGAAAACCUAAGGUUUCCUGAGUAAAGUUAAUCUUCUCAGGGUUAGUCGAUCCCUAAGCCGAGGCCGAAAGGCGUAGGCGAUGGAAAACAGGUUAAUAUUCCUGUACCACUGGAAAGGCGUCUGAGCAAUGGGGGGACGUAGAAGGGUAGGCCAUCCGGGUGAUGGAUGUCCCGGUUCAAGCCGGUAGGAGGAGUUUCCAGGCAAAUCCGGAAGCUCAUUCAACUCCGAGAAGUGACGAGGAGAGGUUUUACCUCAUAAACUGGCUGAUCCCAUGCUACCAAGAAAAGCCUCGUAGCGAGUGGUUCCGGUGAUCGUACCGUAAACCGACACAGGUAGGUGGGGAGAGAAUCCCAAGGCGCUUGAGUGAUCUCUCGUUAAGGAACUCGGCAAAAUGACACCGUAACUUCGGAAGAAGGUGUGCCUCGUUAGCGUGAAGCGAUUCGCACGUGAAGCGCGAGGAGGUUGCAGUGAAACGGCCCAAGCGACUGUUUAGCAAAAACACAGGACUCUGCGAAGUCGUAAGACGAUGUAUAGGGUCUGACGCCUGCCCGGUGCCGGAAGGUUAAGGGGAUUUGUUAGCCGCAAGGCGAAGCUUUGAACCGAAGCCCCGGUAAACGGCGGCCGUAACUAUAACGGUCCUAAGGUAGCGAAAUUCCUUGUCGGGUAAGUUCCGACCUGCACGAAUGGCGUAACGAUUUGGGCGCUGUCUUGACGAGAAGCUCAGCGAAUUUGAUAAACCGGUGAAGAAGCCGGUUACCCGCAACUAGACGGAAAGACCCCGUGCACCUUUACUAUAGCUUGACAAUGAAUUUCGGACUGGUUUGUGUAGGAUAGGUGGGAGGCUUUGAAGUGGGGACGCCAGUUUCCAUGGAGCCGACCUUGAAAUACCACCCUGAUUAUUCUGAAGUUCUAACCUGGGCCCGUUAUCCGGGUCGGGGACAUUGUCUGGUGGGUAGUUUGACUGGGGCGGUCGCCUCCCAAAGAGUAACGGAGGCGC